rnacentral:rRNA from 1 species
GAAAUGACUCUCGGCAACGGAUAUCUCGGCUCUCGCAUNGAUGAAGAACGUAGCGAAAUGCGAUACUUGGUGUGAAUUGCAGAAUCCCGUGAACCAUCGAGUCUUUGAACGCAAGUUGCGCCCGAGGCCUUUAGGCCGAGGGCACGUCUGCCUGGGUGUCACGC